ACUCCGCCCCACGGCGGGAAGAGGGUGGGCACCCCGCUCCCCGGCUGCACGGCGUCCCGGGCCCGCCAGGGGGCGACCUGGCCGCGUGAGGCGCUGCCCGGCUUGCCGGGUGCCCGCGCCAGCGUCGGCGGCGCUGACCUGGGACUUCCGGCCGGCGGGAACCCACGUCGCGCGGGCGUGAGGGUGCAGGGCCUGGGCACAUCCAUUCGAGGGGUGCCGUGGGAGCGAGUGCAGUGAUCCUGGAGCCCCGUGGCCUGGGGCAGGGGCGUCAGCGAGGAGCAAGGGGAGACCCCUGGACUGGAUGGUGGACAGAGGGAGAAGAAAGACAUUGAUGACCUACUCUGUGCCCGGGGUUGUGCUGGAUGCUUUAUCAUUUACUGAAUAUGAUUAUUCCAUGAAUGCCUCUUCAGUCUAUAGAGCUUGGUAUUAUUAUCCCGUUUCACAGAUGAAGAAACAGCCUCAGAGAAGGAAUGCAACUACUAUGUAAAUCAAAGGAAGACUGAACUUUGCUUUGUUCAGAGCUUCAGCAAGGAUUGAUGACCAUUUUGGAAAAUCACGUCAGUGGUGGCAACUUGACUCAUGAUUGAGAAAGGAGAAAUCACCCCCGACGCCUGCUGGUAUGCUAACUGUUUGACGAUUUUGUUUGACCAUGGCGAGUCCCCAUAUGGCACACCUGCAUUCGUCUGCAUUUAUUGAUGUCACCAUCGCCGUCAUCCAUGUUGUAGGUCCUUCUAGUUGUGGCAUGUGGGAUGCUGCCU